UUUAAUGCCGCUCAGAAUGAGGCCACCAGUAGUUAGGUGUGAAUUUUCGAGACCUCUGGCACCGUUCUAAGAUGGGUCCUCUCUUCGUAGGCUAAUGCAUUGGCCCUUUUCGACCCGUUUUGGGGCGAAAACAAAAACUGACUCCCGGGCAUAUUUUUUUCGGCCUUUAUGGGCAAAGAACUUUAAUGCCGCUCAGAAUGAGGCCACCCAGUAGUUAGGUGUGAAUUUUCGAGACCUCUGGCACCGUUCUAAGAUGGGUCCUCUCUUUCUAGGCUAAUGCAUUGGCCCUUUUCGACCCGUUUUUGGGCGAAAACAAAAACUGACUCCCGGGCAUAUCUUUUUCGGCCUUGAUGGGCAAAGAACUUUAAUGCCGCUCAGAAUGAGGCCACCCAGUAGUUAGGUGUGAAUUUUCGAGACCUCUGGCACCGUUCUAAGAUGGGUCCUCUCUUCGUAGGCUAAUGCGUUGGCCUUUUU
rnacentral:lncRNA from 1 species